AUACGGAGGAUGCGAGCGUUAUCCGGAUUUAUUGGGUUUAAAGGGUGCGUAGGCUGUGCGUUAAGUCAGGGGUGAAAUGCCGUCGCUCAACGACGGAGCUGCCCUUGAUACUGGCGUGCUGGAGUACGGAUGCCGUUGGAGGAAUGAGUGGUGUAGCGGUGAAAUGCUUAGAUAUCACUCAGAACACCGAUUGCGAAGGCAUCUGACGAAUCCGUCACUGACGCUGAGGCACGAAAGCGUGGGGAUAGAACAGGAUUAGAUACCCUGGUAUUCCACGCCGUAAACGAUGAUGACUAACCGUCGGCGAUAGACAGCCGGUGGCCAAGCGAAAGCGAUAAGUCAUCCACCUGGGGAGUACGUCGGCAACGAUGAAACUCAAAUGAAUCGGCGGGG
rnacentral:rRNA from 1 species